CAGGUCCCUAAGGUUUCGAUAUGUUCAAACUUUUUAAGAGCUGGGGAAUAGUUUUCCUCAGGGAAACUGUUUUCACCAUUUCCCUUUUGUCUCAUUUACUAAAAAACCCAGUGCUUUGAACUUAAAAGGAAUCACACAGAAAUGAUGGGUUUAUGAACAUGACAAGGAGAAUGGUGUCCGACAUUUUUUUCCUUUAGAAGUAUGUUCAGGUUUUCUCGUUGUGAAUUUAGGCAUGCUAAAUUCCCCAUUCUUUGUUUUAACCACAUACAGAAAAACGCUGCCUUUAUAGUUUACAUCAACAUAAAAUAUAAGCCUGUUCCCUGUGAUCCAAGCAGAAUAUUCUGUAUGUCAGAGCUUAACAAGGAGUUUAACUUCAGGAGAGCAAGGUCUUAAAGGUGAACUACAAAGCACAGAGAAAUUAUGCUUUUGUGCCCUGUAGUUAACUAAAGGGGGAACGGUGGGAUGUAGAGUAUAUUCUGGGGGGCAUCUAAGAAGCCACAGGAUAAUUCUGCAAGCCUUCUUUCUUCCUCAUCCUCUUUUCUCUUGCGUCUCCCCUAUGCUUUCUCCCCAUUCUGUAACCCCCAUGCAGGGUGCAACACUGGCUCUGUGCAAGCACUCCAUGGUUGGGCUGGGGUUUUUACCCCGACAGAGCAGUUCACCUUCAAGCAAUUCUUGAAAGCGAGCUUCAAAUGGCCUUGGGCGUUUUGGCUUGAAAUUUAGAACACCUUUUGAAAAAAAAUUAGAAGACCAAAAAGGCCACGAAGGCUUAGAAUCAUAAAGCAACUGAAGGAUAACAUCCUGCCUGAGUCUCACCCCUACACAGCACCUCCUCAGAGCCAGCACAGACCUGGGCAAUGUCAGAUGGGGUUCGCGGGGAGCCACCCUUCCACUGAUGCUCAUUGGAAUGGCACCAGCUCCUGGCCGUGACUAUCAGGCACAGUUCAGCGUCUUCACUUCGGCAUCCCAAAACUGAGACUUGAUACAUCCAAGGCUCAAAGGGGGAUCUGGCAGCAGCCCCGUACAAAAGCCCCGGUGGAAACAUUUAACUUCCCGAGAUGUUACUCCCACAGUGUACAUGAAGAGGAAUUGCUUCAGACAGCGCGAGCAUUGACUGAAGUCAGGGAGAGCUGUGCUGUUGACUUCUCUGGAGCAAGAUGGGAUCUGCUGCCUGCAGUCGGCAUUCCCCUCAGACGAGCACAGCUCUGGAAAUGCCGUGCCGAUGGAAAAGUCCCACAGAGAAGGCAGAGCUCAUCGCUCUCAGGGUUAGAAGGAUCACCCUUCGGGCCUCAAAACAAGGUCAAAGUUGGGAGGGAGAGGAAAAGAGGUUUAAAAUGAAGGUGACCCUGGAAAACCUGCUCUGCAGUCACAGAACGGCAAGAGUUUUUAUUCCAUUUUGGCCGGAGAGAAAUUAAAUCGUUAGACUUUUUCCCAUCAUCAGCACCCUCGUUGUGGAAACACAGCGGUCAAUUUUUACUGCGGUUUGGCAAGGCUGUCCUCAGCGCUGCACAUUUCCUGCUCGGCAUCCACCUUCCUCGCUUUUAAAAUUCAUUAUGGGUAAUCUGCUGCGAAAGAGAAUAUCGAGCCUGUAUGCCUCGACCACCCAGAUCUAUACACUCCUAUUGUCAGAUCUAUUUACUUCUGCUAUAAUAAAAGCGCCGGAGAGCAGAGCACAUGAGAAAGUGCUCCUAAGGAGAACACUGAAUCUUAAUCUUUGCCUUACACCCUCUUUAGCACCGUUUCUUCCAAAGCUGUGCACAUAUCUGUGCAGCUGUAUAUUUUCAGCGUACGUCACUGCAAAAUAAAUUAUUCAGGAUUGUUAGAUUACUUAUAAAUGACACCAAUCAAUUAACACCACAGCCGGCAGUCUUUGGGGCUUUUGUCAGAGGCCAGGAUGGUAAAGCUCUCAACUCCACAUUUCCCAGUAUGAAGGAUUAUGGUAAUGACAGCUUAUUUUUAUUGAAUUUUUAAUUGAUGAGUAAUAUCUCUGGACUCGCUGUGCUAACAUUAGGUCUAGGGAGAGCUAAUCUCUUGAAGGAGAACAUGAUACAAGCAGAGCUGCCCUUCCCCAAACAAAAACCCCACUUGAAUGUGGCACCAAGCAAUCACGGGAGUUUGCUGCUGUCAGUUGUCAGAGUGUUUCACAAACCUUUGCACUGGAGAUUUGUGCCUUUUCCUUACUGCACAGGCCUUCGAGGAGACCACGCAUUAACAUGCGCUUCACUGCUGUCCUGUAAUAAGGUGAAAAAAGUAGGGUGGCUCCAGGUCAUGUGAAACAAAGCAAGCAGCAGCCUGUAUUGAUCCCUGGGCCGAAGACGCCACGUUUCUGUUUGCAAGCUGGAAAAGCCUCAGGUCUCCCUCCUCUGCACCGCUGACAUUUCCAGCAUUUCUGCUGGCGUUACCAGCAAGGCCACCGGAGAGCAGGUUCUGCAACCCUCUCACAAAGGAACAAAUCCUACCGCUGGCUACAAAGCCACAGAGCCACGGAAUUAAAUAUUUGUUUCCCUUUCUCGAUUGAAGGACAAAACCUGGGGUCCCCUCCUCCUUCCAAAAUACCCAGCCCCCAGGCAGAUUGUGCUGGUGCGUGCUCAUGGUGUGCACAGGGUGAGUCACGCAGAGAGCUGCGCUUCAAUACUGGCAAAGAAUAACACAGCUGAUCUGGUCUUUUCCAUGUUGCUUUAAGGAGCAGUAAAGCUUCGUGAUGAUGGAUAAACACUAUUAUCAUGCAUUAAACAUAUGUGGUUUAAGGACAGAGAGUAGUCUGAUACUAAGUUUUUCAAUACAGAUUGAACUUGUCAUUGAA